rnacentral:SRP_RNA from 1 species
GCCAGGCAUGGUGGCAGGUGCCGAUAGUCCCAGCUACUCGGGAGGCUGAGGUGAGGUGGGAGGAUUGCUUGAGCCCAGGAGUUCUGGGCUGUAGUGUACUAUGCCCAAUCAGGUGUCCACACUAAGAUUGGCAUCAAUAUGGUGACCUCUCGGGAGUGGGGAACCACCAGGUUGCCUAGAUGUGAGCCAGCCCAGGUCAGAAACAGAGCAGGUCAAAACUCCCAAGCUGAUCAGUAGUGGAAUUGUGCCUGUGAAUAGCCACUGCACUCCAGCCUGGGCAACAUAGCGAAACCCCCCAUCUCU